UCUUCGUCUCAAAUCCUGAUGGGUCCCCAGCUUCCAGAGUCCUUGUCCACUCCCACGACCAAAAAGUGUACACCUCAGCUGAGGGGUCGGCAACUCUGACCAUCAACACAGAUGCAAAUCUGGACAAGCUCCCCAUCAAGGUGAAAACUGAGGAAUCUCUUCAGCCAGAGGAGCAGGCUUCAGCCAAGAUGACAGCUUGGCCUUACUUAACUCAGGAUGGGUCAGGAAACUUCCUACACAUCAAAGUAAAGACAUUGGGCACAGAGGUUGGCAGCAGCAUCAAGCUGAGCCUCAACACAAGGCAUCAGGACCCUAAAACCAAGGACAAGAUUACUCACUUCACCAUCCUGGUGAGGGGCUAGGACCAGGGUCUGAGUCAAGGAAUUCUUUCCUUGGAAAAACCUUGGCUUGCUGAGUUGGAGAAACUAUGAAAAAAGAUGUGAAGGUGGCAACAAUCUUGAGUGGGCUCAAAUCUAGAGGCUGAAGAAAAGAGACUAUGAGCCUCCAUUGUGAGAUGGGACAGAUUCAGAGAAAGACUGGCCCUCCCUUCUCAUCCUUGACCUCCCUUGUCUCCAAGGUCCUGAGUAAGGGCCAGAUCGUGAGUGCCAAACAUCAGUCAAAAAGCCAGGGGAGUGUCUACACAUCAGCCAUUAUUGAUGUGACUUCAUCGAUGCUGCCCUCCUUCCGCAUUCUGGCCUUUUAUUUACUUCCCAGAGGAGCAAGCCAAGACCCUGAGUUGGUGGCUGAUUCCAUAUGGAUUGAUGUGAAUGACAGAUGCAUAGGGACGCUGAAAGUUGGCUUGAAGAAUGAUAGAUUCUUCCAGUCUUUGGAGCCCAACAGCCAAGUCGAACUGAAUGUGACAGGUGAUGCAGAAGCCACAGUGGGGCUGGUGGCUGUGGACAAGGCUGUCUAUGUCUUGAACAGCAAACACAAGCUCACUCAGAAGAAGGCAAGAGCAUGUGGGCUUUGGGCCAAGAUGUUGCCAGGAUAUUCUAGCUGGAGCCUCAGCUUCUUCAGCCAGAAAGAGGACAACAUCAAUG